ACACCCAAUGACGAGAUUACCUGACACCACGGUGUUGGAUGUGUUAGCCUCCUGCUGAGUCAUGGUGAAGAUCCUGGCUGGAGCUGAUGGACCUUCACCUCGGGAACCAGAAGAAGAGGCUGCCCCUCUCCCUCUACCUCUGCCACUGCCCUGAGUUGUGGCUGGAACUGCUGGCUGUGCCACACUACCAGAAGCUGUCUGCUGGGGCUGGCCCAUAAAAGGCGCUCUAGGACACUCCCGAGCUAUGUGUCCCUCCUGUCCACAUCUGAAACAUGUAUUAGUCCCAGCUCGACACGCUCCCCUGUGCGGUCUUCCACAUCUCUGGCAUUCUGUACCAUCUGAGCCUGAGCUCGAGCCACCGCCAAAUCCCAG
rnacentral:lncRNA from 1 species